GUGGGCAUGUAUUUUCCCUUGGAAGCUGCCGCCUGCUCCUUCAGAGCCAGCGUAACCUGACUCCAGCCCUGCGAACCUACUGGCGUCACACAGCCCAGCUCCAGCAGCCCACAGCGCUCUGUGUGCAGGCUGGGUGCUGGGUGCUGGGCAACCUGUGCCCUCUGCGUCAUUAACAAAAUGGAGGGUGCUCUUCCAGACUGAGCAUCAAUGGCUCGAUUUUGAGAACAGAAAGUCAGGCACUCACAGUGUGGGAAAUGAUCCCUCCCGCACCAGAAGAACGGCCAAGAGCAUCCAGCCUCUGAGCAAUCUGACCCAGGGCUCCACGGCUGCUGCUCUGAUCAAGGGCAAGGAGGCAGGCUGGGACUGUAAGCAUCAGCGGCCUUGAAAAGCAGAAAAUAUCCUCAAUCACAGGAGAUGAGAGAAGUGCAGAAUUACAAUGACCAGAAAUGUGGUUCGGGGAAAUGGGAAGUUACUGACCUAGUGCCUAGA
rnacentral:lncRNA from 1 species